CUGUUAUGCCACAUGCACAUUUGGUUAAGAACUUUGCUAUCUAAUACAGUGUGUCACAUGCUAUAACCUUUGCUAGGUCUGCCCUUCUCAGGAAUUGACAUAAGUUAUGUCACUACAAGAAAACACGUUUUUGCCGACUGAUUUUACCGACUGAUUAUGUAGUCGCUAAAUAUACCGACUGAUUCACGACUGAUUAGCGACUAUGCUACGACCGAAAUAAAACAGUAGGUACUCAGUCGCCAAACAACGACUACAGAAUUCAGUAGAAACCUAGUCGUUUAUUAGCGACUGACUACAGACUAAUGUGUAGUCGGUAAGCAUCGGUCGGUAAUUAGUCGGGAAAUAUAGUGACUGUUUAGCGACUGAUAUAUAUUAGGUGAAACCGUCACAUUUCGGUCGUCAAAAACCGGUAUAAAACACGUGAAUGUCGUUACUAGUUUGGUGUAACAACCUUUUACGACCAAAUAUAUCAGUCGGUAAAGUCAGUCGUAAAUCAGUAGGAAAACAGUCGGAAACAUUUUCUAUAUAUACACCCAACCCAGUCAUUUUUUCUUCGUGCGAUGCUUGAAAGAAUAAAAAAGUCAGAAAAAAACGUUCAGUCACAUAAUGGGAGGUAAUUACAACUACACUAACUUUCGAGAUUGGAUGUACAAGAGGAUCGAUGAAGAAACGGGGAAUUUCUCGGAAGAGUUCACAACGGGAGUAGAGCAAUUCAUGGCAUUUGCAAACAGUCAGCCUCUAACACAGGAUAAUAAUGGUAAAUUCUUUUGUCCUUGCAGUGUUUGCAAGAAUGAGAAAUUUCUCCCGGGGCAUCGAAUUUUGAAACAUAUAUAUAGUAAAGGGUUUAUGCUCGACUAUUAUGUGUGGUACAAGCAUGGAGAAGAACUCGAUAUGGCUUUAGGAACAAGUUAUGCUAAUCCGACGCAUUUAAGUGGUAGUGAAGAUCACAUUGGUAAUGCAGUAGAAGAUAGAUAUGUGGAAAUGGUGAAUGAUGCAUUUCGAGAUAAUGUGAGUUUUGAUAACUAUCAACAUGGUGAUAGUUAUCAAAAUGCAGUAGAUCCGGAAUGCAAUCACUCGAAGAAAUUCUACGACUUGUUAGAAGGAGCGAAAAAUCCUUUAUAUGAUGGUUGCCGAGAAGGUCACUCGCAAUUAUCAUUGGCUUCUAGGAUCAUGCAAAAUAAGGUGGAUUAUAAUUUGAGUGAAAAGUGCGUUGAUUCGGUAUGUGAAAUGUUGACAGACUAUUUACCAGCUGGAAACCAAUCAACCGGUUCACAUUACGAGACAGAAAGAUUGAUGCGCAAUUUGGGUCUCCCGUACUAUAAAAUUGAUGUGUGUGUUAACAAUUGUAUGAUCUUCUGGAAAGAGGAUGAAAGGUGGGAUAAGUGUCAGUUUUGUGAUGCACCAAGAUGGAAGCCUAGAAGCGAACGACGUAGAACCAAAGUGCCAUAUAGUCGUAUGUGGUAUCUACCUAUUGCUGACAGAUUGAAGAGAAUGUAUCAGAGCAAGAAGACAGCAGCAGCAAUGAGAUGGCAUGCAGAGCACCAAGCAAAGGAGGGUGAAAUGUCUCAUCCGUCAGAUGCAGCAGAGUGGAAACACUUUCAAGAUCAACAUCCCCGGUUUGCAGAGGAACCCCGUAAUGUUUAUCUCGGCUUAUCUACGGAUGGAUUCAAUCCAUUUGGGAUGUCUAAUAAUCAUUCGUUGUGGCCAGUGAUCUUGACUCCAUAUAAUCUACCUCCUGGUAUGUGCAUGAAUCCAGAGUACUUGUUUCUCACAAUUUUGAAUUCUGGGCCAAAUCACCCACGAGCUAGUCUAGAUAUCUUCCUCAAACCUCUAAUUGCGGAGUUAAAAGAGCUGUGGUCUACUGGAGUUGAAGCAUACGAUGUCUCUUUGAAUCAAAAUUUUAAUCUUAAGGCUGUGCUUCUUUGGACGAUAAGCGACUUUCCGGCAUAUGGGAUGCUAUCAGGAUGGACGACUCAUGGUAGGUUGUCUUGUCCAAUUUGUAUGGAAGAUACAAAGGCUUUUUAUCUGAAGAAUGGAAGGAAGACGUGUUGGUUUGAUUGUCAUCGAAGAUUUCUUCCUCGUGGCCAUCCAUUGAGGAAGAACAGAAAGGACUUCUUGAAGGGAAAACAUGCUAUGAAUGAAGUUCCACCUGAAUCUUUGAGUGGUGAGCAAGUUUAUUCUGAGCGGUUAAAAGGUGUCAAUCCACCAAAAACGUCCCAGUGCGGUGGAAAUGGUCACGAUAAGAAGAAACCCGGAUAUGGGAAGGAACAUAACUGGCACAAGGAAAGCAUAUUCUGGGAGUUGCCGUACUGGAGGGACCUAAAUCUUCGACAUAAUCUUGAUGUUAUGCAUAUUGAGAAGAAUUUUUUCGACAACAUCAUGAAUACUCUUAUGAGUGUGAAGGGUAAGUCGAAAGACACAAUCAAGUCAAGAUUGGAUAUAGAACUUCUCUGUGAUCGGCAACACUUACAUGUUGAUAGUCGUGGUCAAGCUCCUUUUCCUCCCUACACACUGGGAGAGAGCGCAAGAAAAAGUUUAUUGGAAUGUGUGAAAGUUGGGGUAAAAUUUCCAGACGGUUAUGCUUCCGACUUAGCUAACUGUGUUGAUAUAGAGAAGCGGAAGUUUUCAGGCAUGAAGAGUCAUGACUGCCAUGUGUUUAUGGAGAGGCUACUUCCAUUUAUAUGUGCGGAACUCCUAGACGAGAACGUCCAUCUUGCUUUAUCAGGUACAAAUUAAUUAAUUAAUUAUAGUUUCAUGAUAUAUUACAUUUCGAAGAGUGUUUAUAAAUUGGGUUAUUAACGAUUUUAAAUUUGUUUAUAUAUUGCAGGGAUUGGUUUAUUUUUCCGUGACCUUUGCUCGAGAACUUUGCAAAAAAAUCGCUUAAAAAAACUUAAACAAAAUAUUGUUUUGAUACUAUGCAAUUUGGAAAAGAUCUUUCCACCAUCUUUUUUUGACGUGAUGGAGCACUUGACUAUACAUCUCCCCUAUGAAGCAGAACUAGGAGGCCCCGUGCAAUAUAGGUGGAUGUAUCUUUUCGAAAGAUAUUUUAAGAAGUUGAAAGCGAACGCAACGAACAAAAGCCAUGCAGCAGGGUCGAUAGUUGAAGCAUAUAUCAAUGCUGAGAUUGCUUAUUUCUCAGAACACUACUUCGCUGACAGUAUACAAACAAAAUCGAGGUAAAUGUUAUAAUUAGUUACAUGUUCGCCUUUUCAUGUGUAUUUAUAUGUUUUCUUCUAAAAUGUGGAUCUCUUGUCCUAAUAUGGUAGGUUUACAAGAUUUGAAGUAGGUGAAGUCCCUGUAUAUCAUGUUGAAGGAGUACCAGAUAUAUUUAUUCAGGUAGGUCGUCCAAGCGGGGAAAUGCAAGAAAUUUGGCUUUCCGAAAAAGAUUAUCUAUGCGCACAUGCUUAUGUUUUGCGAAAUUGUGAUUAUUUUCAGCCAUUUGAGAGGUAUAUAUAAUUUGACAAAUUAAAUCCAUACCUUAUAUUUCUCACACUAAUCUAACAAAUGCAUACCUUCUCAUAUUUUAAUUUUGUUGCUCUAAUAUAGCAUGUUCGAAGAUUUUCUUUCUGUAAAAUAUCCAGACCUUUCUGAAAGAGAUCUCUCCACGAAGAGAGCUGAGGAAUAUCAUAUAUGGGUGAAAGAUUAUGUACGUCUCAGUUAUACUAUUAUAAUACUUAAUUUUACAUAGUGUUUAUCUUGUGUAUAUAUAUUUACAGGUUACUCACUGGAGCGAAACACAUCCCUUUCCUGCUUGGGUUAAAGAGUUUGUACAAGGACCCGUGAAUAAAGCCAAAACCUGGCCAAUUUAUUUCACUCGAGGUUUUCUGUUUCAUACCCAAACGCAUGGUGAGGGACGAAAGACUUGCAACUAUGGAGUAUGUGCUAAAGGAGAGAGUUAUACAAAUGCAGCUGAUGAAUCUCAGUACUAUGGGAUCUUAACAGAUAUCAUACAAAUCAAUUACGAGGGUAUAGUCGAUUUGAAAAUCACACUUUUUAAGUGUAAGUGGUAUGACCCUGUUAUUGGUAGAGGCACUCGGCGGAAAAAUGGCGGAAUAGUGGAUGUUCUCUCAUCGAGAAAAUACUACAAAUAUGAUCCAUUUAUUCUAGGUACGUUUGUAUAUAUAUACUUAUUGUUUAUAUUUUUAUUAACUAUAUUUAUUUUUGUUUAACAGCAUCUCAAGCAGAUCAAGUUUGUUAUAUUCCAUAUCCAUAUGUAAGAAAACCGAAGCAGUCUUGGCUCAAUGUUCUAAAAGUGAAUCCGAGGAGAAUCAUUUUUGGAGAAUAUGAAGACAAAGAUCCGGUGACUUUGCAACAAGAAAACGAUGAUGCUGUUUUGAUGACCACAGUUGAAGACCUUGAAGUCGACCAUUUGGUACAUGCUCCUGGAGAACCGAUCAAUAUUGAUUUCGAUGUGGCAGAUGCAGAACCUAAUGAUGAAUUCCGAUGUAAUUUAUCAUCUUCAGACGAUGAUGAAGAUGGAGAUGAAGAUGAACCGUACUAAGUUGCUUAAUUAACAUGAUGAAACGAUCAAUAUUCGGUUUCCAUGUAUAAUAUUAUCUUGUAAUAUGAUGAACUUCGGUUACCAUGUAUAAUAUUAUGUUUCAUAUAUAUGUUAUAAACUUUAUUUGUCGUAUUUAAUAUAUUAUGUUGUAAUACAAUGUUAUUUUGGAUUUAGGGAUUAGGGUUUCGAUUUAGGGGUUAGGAUUAAGGUUUAUUAUGUACAUUUUUAUUUGGCUCCAAAAGUUCUUAAAUCGCAAAAAACAUUUAAAAUAUAUGUUGUAAUAUUUAAUUAUGUAUAUUUGUAUUUUCAAAUUUAUUUUCAAAUUUAUUUGCAAAUUUAACGACUGAUUACCUACUUAUUACCGACUAUUAAGCCAAAAAUUCGGUUUUGCCUCCAAAAAAUUAUUGAACCGCGAAAAUAUUUGGUUAUAAUUUGAUGUUGAAUUUCAAUUUAAUUUUCAUUUUAAAAAAUGAUGACUGAAUUCCUACUGAUUGGCGACUGAUGAUCUAAACCGGGAAAACCCAAAAUUUUUAGACUUAAAGCCCGCGUUAACAAAGCCCAAAAUUUUAUUUCAUCUCUUCUAAUUUCGCGGAAGAAGAAACAGAACCACCAAGAAAACCCUAAUCACUCUCAAUCUCCAUCUCGAUCUCAAUCUCAAUCUCUCUCACGAUCUCAAUCUCCAUCUCCAUCUCGAUCUCAAUCUCUCCCACAGAUCUCGACGGCCACUCUCUCCCACCGGUCUCGAUCGCGAUCUCUCCCACCGAGCUCGAUCUCGAUCUCUCCCACCGGUCACAAUCUCGAUCUCUCCCGCCGAUCCCGAUCUCUCCAGCAUCUGUCUCCGAAGAUGGGUGGAAAGAGGAAGCGGAAUACCGUCAAACCCAACUCCUCUCGGGUUACACAACGCCCAGCUACUUUACCAGCUCAGUAUGACUUCGUACCGAGGGAUCCAUCUCCGUCGAUCCCACCCGUUCUCCCUAAGAACAAACCUCUCCCUAAGAACAAUCCUCUCCCAUCUGUUCGCGAUUAUCCUCCUCCGAGAAAGCUGUUUCCGGAAACGAACUUCCCACCUUCUCAAUCAGCUCCGUCGCCUCUCACUCCAGCUGCUGCGACGUCUCAACCUCAACAUCGACAAACUCAGUCGACUGAACGUAUGAACACACUUCCUCCAAGUCAACCGGCUCCAGUUCGAGCAUCUCAAUCGCCUCACAGUUCUGAAGCACAAAAUUCUCGUUUUCCAGAAGAGGAGGAGGAGGAGGAUAUGUCCGAUGUAGAGGCUCCGGUUCAACCUAAUCUCGCCUCUGACCAUAUGGAUCUUUUGAACUCCCUUCUAAACCAGCCAGGUCGAGCGAAGAACACAAUUGUCCUGUCUCGCAACCUUGAGCCUGGAACCACAUGGUAUUUUCUCUUCCUUUCUUACAAUUGUUGAUGAUUCUUUGAUGAUUCAUUGCUUAUUGGUUAUUGAUCAGUUAUGUUCUUUGCUUGUCUUCUUUUAGAAAUUUAAUUUAAAAAUUUGUAUUGAUGAUAAUUAUAUGUUUGUAGGUUUGGGUAUGACAAGUCGAGCUUGUCUAGGAAGAUUACCAAGAUUUUAAAGAACAAGUUUAAUAAGCCUUUCUACAGCUGGACUCGUGUGCCUAGAGACAGACAAGAACGCUACUUUCUGGAAUUUGCCGUAAGUUUCUCUGUCUCUUCUCUGUCUUUGAGUUAUUAUAGUUAUUAAGUAAGUGGUGUUGACUGGUGUUGUGCAACUCACCAUCCAUGUUAACUUGUCUUUUUUGAACAAGUUUAUUACACACUGUUUUUUUAAUUCUUUGGUUUUUGAUGGCUAACUAGUAUCUUCUAUGUUCAUUUGUAGAAAACUCACACAUGGGAUCCAUCAUUGACUGGUGUUGUGCAAGAACAUUUCGAGGCCAUUGCUCUUCUACGAAUGAAAGACAUGGUCAGCGAAGUAAGGACAUCUCGGCAGCAGCCUAAUUGGAUAGGCGACACACUCUGGAAACUAAUGACCGACUAUUGGGACACUGACGCUGCGGUUGCAAAGAGUGCUACAGCAUCAGCAUCUAGAAUGUCUGACCGUCAAGGUCUUGGCUUUCACACACAUAACUCUGGCCAGAAGUCUUAUAUGCAGCUCCACCAAGAGAUGGUGAGUCCCUACUUCUUAUCUGUUCAUUGUGAUAAGUCUGUUUGGUUUUUAAACAUUUUAUACUGAUCUUUUCUUCCAUUUUACUUCAGGUUGUUGAAUUGGGAAGACCAGUGAGCUUUGGUGAAGUAUUCAUCAGAGCUCAUACAAAGUCAGAUGGAACCUUUAGUGAUUUCAAAGCUAAACAAGUUAUUGAGGCUUUCAAGAAGCAAAAAGAAGCUAAGUUGGCCACCCUUGAGACUGAUGAUCACACCGAGACUGGGCAGCAUCCACCACUAUCAAUAGAAGAGGAGAAUGAGCUGUUUAUUCAGGCCACUUUCACCAAUGACAGGGGGCAAAU